rnacentral:rRNA from 1 species
GAGCGAUCAAGUGUCUUAAGAGCAUUCGGUGGAUGCCUUGGCGCUGAGAGGCGAUGAAGGACGUGGUACGCUGCGAUAAGCCUUGGGGAGCUGCGAACGAGCUUUGAUCCA